rnacentral:rRNA from 1 species
GACGAACGCUGGCGGCGUGCUUAACACAUGCAAGUCGAACGGAAAGGCCCUGCUUUUGUGGGGUGCUCGAGUGGCGAACGGGUGAGUAACACGUGAGUAACCUGCCCUUGACUUUGGGAUAACUUCAGGAAACUGGGGCUAAUACCGGAUAGGAGCUCCUGCUGCAUGGUGGGGGUUGGAAAGUUUCGGCGGUUGGGGAUGGACUCGCGGCUUAUCAGCUUGUUGGUGGGGUAGUGGCUUACCAAGGCUUUGACGGGUAGCCGGCCUGGGAGGGUGACCGGCCACAUUGGGACUGAGAGACGGACCAGAAGCCUACGGGAGGCAGCAGUGGAGAAUAUUGCACAAUGGGCGGAAGCCUGAUGCAGCAACGCCGCGAGCGUGAUGACGGCCUUCGGGUUGUAAACCGCUUUCGCCUGUGACGAAGCGUGAGUGACGGUAAUGGGUAAAGAAGCACCGGCUAACUACGUG